GGCAAGCUACUAAGGGCGUACGGUGGAUGCCUUGGCGCCAGGAGCCGAUGAAGGGCGUGGCACACUGCGAUAAGCCUCGGGGAGCCGUGUGCAGGCGUUAUAUCCGGGGAUGCCCGAAUGGGGAAACCCGCCUGGGUCAAACCCAGGCACCGCCCGCUGAACCCAUAGGCGGGACGGGGGGAACGCGGGGAACUGAAACAUCUUAGUACCCGCAGGAAAAGAGAGUAUUCCCUGAGUAGUGGCGAGCGAAAGGGGAAGAGCCCAAACCGUCGGUGUGCACAAGCCCUCAGGCGUUGCACCGGCGGGGUUGUGGGCCAUGGCCGGGCCGGGCU
rnacentral:rRNA from 1 species